rnacentral:rRNA from 1 species
AGAAUCAACGCUGGCGGCGUGCCUAACACAUGCAAGUCGAACGAGAAAGUGGAGCAAUCCAUGAGUAAAGUGGCGACCGGGUGAGUAACACGUGACUAACCUACCUUCAAGUGGGGGAUAACCUCGGGAAACCGGGGCUAAUACCGCAUAACAUCUUUGGAGUGGAAAUUCUGGAGAUCAAAGGAGCAAUUCGCUGGAAGAGGGGGUCGCGGCUGAUUAGCUAGUUGGCGGGGUAAUGGCCCACCAAGGUUUUGAUCGGUAGCCGGCCUGAGAGGGCGCACGGCCACACUGGAACUGAAACACGGUCCAGACUCCUACGGGAGGCAGCAGUGGGGAAUUUUGCGCAAUGGGGGAAACCCUGACGCAGCAACGCCGCGUGGAGGAUGAAGUCCCUUGGGACGUAAACUCCUUUCGACCGGGAAGAUGAUGACGGUACCGGUGGAAGAGCCCCGGCUAACUUCGCGCCAGCAGCCGC